rnacentral:rRNA from 1 species
GACCAGCGGAGGGAUCAUUAUAGAGUUUUCUAAACUCCCAACCCAUGUGAACUUACCUUUUGUUGCCUCGGCAGAAGUUAUAGGUCUUCUUAUAGCUGCUGCCGGUGGACCAUUAAACUCUUGUUAUUUUAUGUAAUCUGAGCGUCUUAUUUUAAUAAGUCAAAACUUUCAACAACGGAUCUCUUGGUUCUGGCAUCGAUGAAGAACGCAGCGAAAUGCGAUAAGUAAUGUGAAUUGCAGAAUUCAGUGAAUCAUCGAAUCUUUGAACGCACAUUGCGCCCAUUAGUAUUCUAGUGGGCAUGCCUGUUCGAGCGUCAUUUCAACCCUUAAGCCUAGCUUAGUGUUGGGAAUCUACUUCUCUUAGGAGUUGUAGUUCCUGAAAUACAACGGCGGAUUUGUAGUAUCCUCUGAGCGUAGUAAUUUUUUUCUCGCUUUUGUUAGGUGCUAUAACUCCCAGCCGCUAAACCCCCAAUUUUUUGUGGUUGACCUCGGAUCAGGUAGGAAUACCCGCUGAACUUAAGCAUAUCAAUAAGCGGAGGAAAAGAAACCAACAGGGAUUGCCUUAGUAACGGCGAGUGAAGCGGCAACAGCUCAAAUUUGAAAUCUGGCCCUUGGGUCCGAAUUGUAAUUUGUAGAGGAUGAUUUUGGUGCGGUAUCUUCCGAGUUCCUUGGAACAGGACGCCUUAGAGGGUGAGAGCCCCGUACGGUUGAAUGCCUAGCCUCUGUAAAUCUCCUUCGACGAGUCGAGUAGUUUGGGAAUGCUGCUCUAAAUGGGAGGUAAAUUUCUUCUAAAGCUAAAUAUUGGCCAGAGACCGAUAGCGCACAAGUAGAGUGAUCGAAAGAUGAAAAGCACUUUGAAAAGAGGGUUAAAUAGCACGUGAAAUUGUUGAAAGGGAAGGAUUUGUGACCAGACUUUUUCUGGGCGGAUCAUCCGGGGUUCUCUCCGGUGCACUUCGCCCAGUAAAGGCCAGCAUCGGUUUUCGGCGUGGGAUAAAAGCAGUAGGAAUGUGGCUCUCUACGGGGAGUGUUAUAGCCUAUUGUAUAAUACCGCGCUGGGGACCGAGGUUCGCGCUUCUGCAAG